UCCGGCUUUUCGCCGACAGUUCCCUUAGGGUGCCCAGCUUUACCUGUUGGCAACUAAGGGCAAGGGUUGCGCUCGUUGCGGGACUUAACCCAACAUCUCACGACACGAGCUGACGACAGCCAUGCAGCACCUCGAUAACCGCCUCCGAAGAGGACCCCGUGUUUCCACAGGUCGCAGUUACCGUUCGAGCCCCGGUAAGGUUCUUCGCGUUGCGUCGAAUUGAACCACAUGCUCCACCGCUUGUGCGGGCCCCCGUCAAUUCCUUUGAGUUUCAGUCUUGCGACCGUACUCCCCAGGCGGGGCACUUAACGUGUUAACUCCGGCACCGAGGGACUCAAUACCCCCGACACCAAGUGCCCAUCGUUUACAGCUAGGACUAC
rnacentral:misc_RNA from 1 species